AACCUCCCCCUCUUUCUCCCCCAAACCAGCACAUCCCUGCCUUGCCUUAGCUUGCAAAACGCUUUUCUUUUCCAUCCCUCUGUCGCGAAAACUCGUCGGGCUGCCUCAUUCUUUCACUCUUUCUUCGAGAGCCCUCCAUUUCGUCCCUGUAUUCUAUGUUUUCUGUACUUUUUGGGCAUCUUGGCACUGCAUUCUGGGUCUUAAACGUCGGGAGGCCAAUAGCAUUUCCGCUUUUUACUGUCUAUCCGUCCGUCUCCUGGAAGGACUAGUUAUAUUCUCACUCAAACCGAAUCGGUCCCCGCGUCGUGUUACUAGUCGAUGUAUUGCUUAUCAAUUCAAGUCUGGCCUAUGUUUAGAUAUUUUUUGUAAAAUUCUCAAGUCAUAUUUUUUUCCAAACAAUCCGUCGUGUAUGAUUAAUCUAUUACUUCUGACAGUAAUGCAUCCAAAGUUGAUUUAGUCUCGUGUCUGGUUGUUUUAGGAAAGAAAUAGUUAGGUUUCCUUUAGAAAUCAGUAAUAAGGUUGUUAUUAUUACGCAGGGAAGCAUGUUAGGUGAUAGAAUAACGUUAUACAAUAGCUUUUGAGUUUUCAUUUAUAAUGUUUACUUUUUGUAGGCCUAUCUAGUAGAAUGUUAGUUAUUUGUUAUGAAGGUAAGCUAUAUCCAGUGGGAAGGAAAUGUUAUAUUAUUGCUCUUACUUAUUCCAUAAAAAUCCAUACGAGCUGUCAUCUGUCUCGUCGGACAGCCAACCUAUUCUGUAAAUCCCUUUCUCUGCUCGCAUCACCAUUCUAUUCUUUCCAUGCAACCCGCAGCUCAACUCUCUGCCUCGGCUAUGGGCUCUCCCGUACCCGAGGUCUUACUGAUCCGCUCUUGUCAUGAAACACACUAGACUUACAAAACACACACACACAGGCCUACCGAUCGAUUUGCAUGUGACUCCGUCAGGGAAUCAGCAAGAAUCGACUUUAACAUCGCUUCAGAGAAGCAAACAGGAAUGAAAAAUAAAAGAAAAUGAUGGACAAAGUGGGGAGAGAGAAAAGUAGAGGAACUGAGCUGUAAAGCGGGGCGGAGGGAAAUACACAUGUAAGAAACGAAUCGGAAAGUGAUAAUGUUGCUUAAUAUAAAGGAUUUUAUCAACCCGUGAUGGUGCUGAAAACAGCGGACCGACCAAGUGGCAUAUCUGUCAAAAUAAGAAUGCGGGCGAUGUUUCUCUUUCGCGGGACGUACACGGACCCACAAGCUGGACUAAUGUGCUCUUUUCCUGGCUACGCUCAUGUGCAGCUCCCGCUACCCUCCGUAUGCUGAAUGUAACCCUUUCACAUCGUAAUCGUCCUCAAAAUGUGUUUCUUGACACCAAUAACACUUCUAUAUCUUUCCUGAUUCCAUCGAAAAGCACAAAUGUGUUUUUAAAUCCAUGUUUUUUGUGGUCUACUUCUUGGAGAGGAAUCGCUGUCUUGACCAUUUCUUUUCUUCCAGUCAUGAGGAGAACGAGGACGAACGCAGAUGUAAACACAGUCAUAGCCUGAGCAGUGGAGCCAUGUGGACUUGGAGUAAUUGCAGGUGACCACAGUGACUAUCUCUGAAUUAUGGGAAGCUUAACCCCCGCCAGCCCCCCUACCCCCUCGACCUCAGCUCCAUGGCAGGUGAUCCCACCUGUAUUUGGAGAGGAGGGGGGACCGAACCCUGAGCGUCCCUUGUCAGCGUGCUGCCUGUGGCCCUAGAGAGGCGGUGCCUAGCUGGCCUUUGGGGCCCCGGGGCCAAUAAAAGCAGGUGAUUAGUGAGGCCAUUCCCUGGCUAGGUGUGAGCUUGUUAACGCAAUUAAAGGCAGAGGUGUUUACCUUGGCACUACAUUAACACUAUAGGAGGGGUGGGGUCAGACCCUACCAGGGACAACACACAUGCCCACCUAACAAGUACAUUUUAGUCAUUUAGCAGACGCUCUUAUCCAGAGCGACUUACAGUAGUGUGUGGAUACAUUUUAAUACUUUUCCCGUACUGGUUCCCUGUGGGACUCAAACCCACAAAUCUGGCAAUGUGAGGCCAUGCUCUACCAACUGAGUCACAUGGGACCCUCUGGGUAAUACAACAUUUCUACAGUUUAUUCAGUCUGGAUUUGAAAGGGUACUCAAGGCAUCGGUCUGAAUCUGGUGUCUGUAUGUGACCUGUCUGAUUUAUUAGUUUCAUUUUAAUGUGAUUAAAUCCACAUUAUUUUGAUGCAUAUCUAUACAGUAAAAAUAGACACAUAAACAACAAAAAAUAAUGUGUGGCAUGUAAAAGGUAAUCUCCUCCCUGUUGUCAACUGACAGGCAGCUUUGUGACAUUCCCCUCAUUGCUUAGAGGAUGAAACAUGUGCAUUUGUUUAACUCCAAUGACUCCAAUGAUCACAGGAUGAUUACUGGCCUGUCUUGAACUUGACUUAAAAACUUGAACUUGAAUCAUUAGAUGUCUACUAUUUAAAUGGUUUAAUUCUGUGUCCUGAAAUGUAAUAAUACUAUUAGGUUAGGUUACUAUUAGGUUACUAUUAGGUUAGGCUCUUGGUAUAAUAGUGAGAAUGUGCACACUAUGUUCUCUACUAAAACUACACAGAACACAGCAGUCUGAACCAUGCUGGGAUCAACUGGAACAUACAGAUAGAUUGACUCUCUCUGUUCUCUUUCAACAUCCACAUGUAAUAUCAAGCAUGCAAAUAAAAGUGGGAUAAUCUGUG